AUGAACGUUGGCGGGCGUGCCUAACACAUGCAAGUUGAGCGUGGCUCUUUUUAAGAGUCUAGCAGCGGACGGCUGAGUAAUGCACAGGAAACGUACCUCACGGUAGCGCAUAGCCCAUCGAAAGAUGGGGGUAAUACGUUAUAGUCUCGCAAGAGUAAAGCCGCAAGGCGCCGAAGAGAAACGGGCCUGUGUCCUAUCAGGUAGUUGGUGGGGUAAAAUGCCUACCAAGCCUAUGACGGGUAGCUGGUCUUAGAGGAUGAUCAGCCAGAUCGGGACUUGAGACACGGCCCGAACUCCUACGGGAGGCAGCAGUUGGGAAUCUUGCACAAUGGGCGAAAGCCUGAUGCAGCGACGGCCGCGUGGAGGAUGACGGCCUUCGGGUUGUAAACUCCUUUUGCUAGGGAGUAAUUUUUGAAAGUACCUAGCGAAUAAAGCACCGGCUAACUCCGUGCCAGCAGCCGCGGUAAUACGGAGGGGUGCUAACGUUAUUCCGGAAUUAUUGGGGCGUAAAAAGCGCAUGUAGGUGGUUUUGGUAAGUGGACGAUUAAAGAUCGACGCCUAACGUCGGGAAUGUUGUCCAUACUGCCAGACUUGAAGGAGAACAGGGGUAAGCGGAACUUUAGGUGUAGGAGUGAAAUCCGUAGAUAUCUAAAGGAACACCAAUGGCGAAGGCAGCUUACUGGGUCUUUCUUUGACACUGAGAUGCGGAAAAGCGUGGGGAGCAAACGGGAUUAGAUACCCCGGUAGUCCACGCUGUAAAACGAUGGCCGACUAGGUCUUGGGGAGUAUCGACCCUCCCUUGGGCCGAAGCUAAACGCGUUAAGAGUCGGCCGCCUGGGGAGUACGAACGCAAGUUUUUUAAAAACUCAAAGGAAUUGACGGGGGACCUGCACAAGUGGUGGAGCGUGCGGUUAUUAAUUCGUAUCUAAGCGUAGAACCUUACCGAGGUUUGACAUCUCUGGAAAGUCCUGGAAACAGGACCGUGCCGCAAGGAACCAGAUGACAGGUGUUGCACGGUUGUCGUCAGCUCGUGCCGUGAGGUGUCCCGUUCAGUCGGUUUAACGAGCGCAACCCCUACCUUGUGUUGUAUUUUUCACAAGGAACUGCCCUGGUCAACAGGGAGGAAGGUGGGGACGACGUCAAAAUCAGCGUGGCUCUUUACAACCUCGGGGCGACAACGCGCGCUACAAUGGGAAGUAACAAUGGGUUGCCAAGCCGUAAGGCGGAGCUAAUCCCACCAAAAACCUUCCCCCAGUUCAGAUUGAGGGCUGCAACUUCGCCCCCAUGAAGUCGGAAUCACUAGUAACGGCCAGUCAGCCAUAUGGCCGUGAAUACGUUUCUCAGGUCUUGUACACACCGCCCGUCAAGCCACGAAAGUCGGGGGCGCCCGAAGGGAUAUUAUUAUGUCACUACGGCGAAUUCGAUGAUCAGGGCU
rnacentral:rRNA from 1 species